ACGCACGCUGGCGGCAGGCCUAACCCCUGCAAGUCGAGCGAGGACUUCGGUUCUAGCGGCGGACGGGUGAGUAACGCGUGGGAAUGUGCCCUUCUCUACGGAAUAGCCCUGGGAAACUGGGAGUAAUACCGUAUACGCCCUAUUGGGGAAAGAUUUAUCGGAGAAGGGUCAGCCCGCGUUGGAUUAGGUAGUUGGUGGGGUAAUGGCCUACCAAGCCGACGAUCCAUAGCUGGUUUGAGAGGAUGAUCAGCCACACUGGGACUGAGACACGGCCCAGACUCCUACGGGAGGCAGCAGUGGGGAAUCUUAGACAAUGGGGGCAACCCUGAUCUAGCCAUGCCGCGUGAGUGAUGAAGGCCUUAGGGUUGUAAAGCUCUUUCAGCUGGGAAGAUAAUGACGGUACCAGCAGAAGAAGCCCCGGCUAACUCCGUG
rnacentral:rRNA from 1 species